ensembl:lncRNA
AAUAAGUACUACUAUGUAAUAUUUGCUAGAGAAACUGAAAAAUAUGCUGGUUACAAGUCGGUUGCUUACUUAAUCAAAUAGUCCUAUGUGCUAGUAAGAGAAUGAAUGAAUUAACUAAUUAAUACAAUAAAAUACUAGUUAGUAUUACUAAUUAGUUUUUAGAAUUAAAUGUUUAGCCAGCUUGCCAUAUCUUGAGCGUGUGUGUGUGAAGGUGGGAGAGGCUGUUGCGCGCGCGUGUCCUCGUCUAUUUUUCCUGUGGGAAUUAAUGCCAUUUCACGUGGGUAUUAUUAGAGGUGGCCGUUACUAAACUUAGCUUCAUUCUCUAAGUUAUUCAUUCUCUAAGUUUGUCCAUGAGUGGACAAAAAAGAAAUGGCAACAAAUAACCAGACCGAUUAGGAAAAUGCCAAAAUAAGAAGGAAAAUAGCAUUGUAAACGAUGAGACGGAGACGUCUGAGAGCGAUGACUUCCGUGGCCGGGAGCAAGAUCGUUUCCUUGCCGUGGAAAAAUAGUCAGGAAGGGGAAAAAUGUUGAGGGGUUGGUGUGGGGUAAAGAGAAAGAAAAACUCGAUCUUUGUCUACAAUCAAUGCAGCCCUCCUCCUCCCCCAUGUCGCCGCCAUCUCCCAGGCCAUAAUUUACGAUCCCUCGCUAUUUAUUUGGCUCACACCUCCCGGUAAAGCCCCGUUAAACAACUUCACACCAAAGCAUGCCGUUGAAUCAUGAUGGCAGCUCAUUUCGCAGGUGAAGUGUGGAGUGAUGGGGCCCAGGACUGCUCUCUCUCUCGCCUUGUCGUCUCCAAAGUGCCAGGCAUUUCACACAGGGUGAGAGACGUUACUGAGGUGUGUGUUAUUCUUGAUGUCGGCCUCCAGCGGGGAGCAGGAGUCAACACAGCUAGUAACAUACAGAGUGCCAUCAGCCUGUCAAUCAAGUCAGGUAAUCACACCCCCAUUGGUUUCAGACACGUGCUCUUACAUGCACACGCAAAUAUACAUUAAGUACUAGUUUCACACCUAUGACACCUCUUAUUCAGGUGCAUUUUAGUCCAGUGUUUUCUGAACUCUGAUUCCACCCUCGCUUCACCCUUGGUGUUCAUUCUAGAGCCCUUUAAUUCCCAACUCAUUAUAUUACAGCAUAAUCUAUGUGGAGAUAAUAACCAUUUGGGCAAUCAGUGACUGAGUAUGCCAAAAGAUACCAUACACAUUCAUGCACACUCCUUAAAACAUAAAUUAUUGUCUUUAAUGUCUCUG